GACGAACGCUGGCGGCGUGCUUAACACAUGCAAGUCGAACGGAAAGGCCCUGCUUGCAGGGUACUCGAGUGGCGAACGGGUGAGGAACACGUGGGUGAUAAGCCGUGCACUUCGGGCUAAGCCUGGGGAACUGGGUCUAAUACCGGAUAGGUGCCACUUCUAGAGUGCAUGUUGGAAAGGUUUUUCGGUGUAGGAUGAGCUGGCGGCCUAUCAGCUUGUUGGUGGGGUAAUGGCCUACCAAGGCGGCGAGGGGUAGCCGGCCUGGGGGGGUGGACAGCCACCUUGGGCCUGAGGUACGGCCCAGACGCCUACGGGAGGCAGCAGUGGGGAAUAUUGCACAAUAGGCGCGAGCCUGAUGCGGCGACGCCGCGUGGGGGAUGACGGCCUUCGGGUUGUAAACACCUUUCGCUAGGGACGAAGCUUUUUGUGACGGUACCUAGAUAGGAAGCACCGGCUAACUACGUG
rnacentral:rRNA from 1 species